UGUCCUAUAGUGUAAUUGGCAACACACAGCACUCUGGAUGCUGGGUUUUAGGUUCGAGUCCUAAUAGGACAA
rnacentral:tRNA from 1 species